rnacentral:lncRNA from 1 species
GGGACAAUAAAAGUAGAAUCAUUAGAGAGAAAUAUCUUCUUCUUAUCAUUCUGUAAUAUUUUUUUUUUGUAGUACAAUCCUUUUCCGCUCAUUAUUUUAUUUAAAAAAGUAAUAUUCCUAUGGUUAACCGAAAAAAGAUGCCCAAAUUUACGUAGGGGUUUAGCUCAUAUAUAAUUAGCAAGUCUUAAAGAUUAAUUAACCCUCAAUGAAACUGAAUGAAGGAAAUGGACGAUGGUACAGCAACAAUGAGACUACAAAUCAUGAAAGGUGGUUGGUUAGUCGCAACAGUGACCUUUAAUCUGGACAAAUUCAAAUAGAGGCCCUGAUUGCAAAAAUACAGUCAUUAUACGUGGUAAGAACGUCAAGGGAUGUCAUCGAUGAUCAGGAGAUCAAUAUCAACGAUGGAUAGUUUUGAUAUUAAUGGAAUACUGCAUAGUUAACCAUCUCUUUUUCAAAGUUUUUGUAUUUCCAAAUAUUUUUUAUACACAAGUGUUUUAAUUUCACUGUCUAUUUAAUGUGUCAAAUCGUACCAUACCCUCUUAUUGCAAUGAAAGCCCUAGAGAUACUCAUACCAUUUGUAAGAACAUAUCUUAGUGAGAAAUCAUUUUGGAGGAUGUUCAACAUAAAAACGAAAAAAGGAGCAGACUCUGUUGCAAAAACGAUAUGAGAGUGGACCUUGCCUAGGUGAUGCCACGCAUUUCUGAACUUGUGUCUGAAAGGCAGCAUCAAAAAACACAUUGAUUUGCAGCAAAUAUUCAUUGAGCUAAUAUUAUUGUAUUAAAUUCUUGUUUUGUUGAUUUUGUUCUUUGAACACAGUGUUUUUUGGUUGCAACUGAUGCAUGGCUCAUUUUGUGCACUAAAAAAAUAUAUAUCUAUGUCCUGU